UCCCUGGUGGUCCAGUGGUUAAGACUUUUCACUCCCAAGGCAGGGGGCCCAGGUUCAAUCCCUGGUUAGGUAA
rfam:TPA: Bos taurus chromosome 18, whole genome shotgun sequence.